AGAACGAACGCUGGCGGCACGCCUAACACAUGCAAGUCGAGCGCCCAGCAAUGGGAGCGGCGGACGGGUGAGUAACACGUGGGAAUAUGCCUUUCGGUACGGAACAACUCAGGGAAACUUGAGCUAAUGCCGUAUACGCCCUUACGGGGAAAGAUUUAUCGCCGAAAGAUUAGCCCGCGUCUGAUUAGCUAGUUGGUGAGGUAAUGGCUCACCAAGGCUUCGAUCAGUAGCUGGUCUGAGAGAACGACCAGCCACACUGGGACUGAGACACGGCCCAGACUCCUACGGGAGGCAGCAGUGGGGAAUCUUGGACAAUGGGGGAAACCCUGAUCCAGCGAUGCCGCGUGAGUGAUGAAGGCCUUCGGGUUGUAAAACUCUUUCGACGGGACGAGUAAUGACGGUACCCGUAGAAGAAGCUCCGGCUAACUCGUGCCAGCAGCCGC
rnacentral:rRNA from 1 species